rnacentral:rRNA from 1 species
UACGUAGGUCGCAAGCGUUGUCCGGAUUUACUGGGCGUAAAGAGCGCGCAGGCGGCUGGUCAAGUCCGAUGUGAAAUCUCCCGGCUCAACUGGGAAACUGCAUCGGAAACUGAUCGGCUUGAAGAUGGGAGAGGGUAGUGGAAUUCCCGGUGUAGUGGUGAAAUGCGUAGAUAUUGGGAAGAACACCGGUGGCGAAAGCGCUCUGCUGGGCCUGCACUGACACUGAGGGACGAAAGCUAGGGGAGCGAAAGGG